rnacentral:rRNA from 1 species
GUGCCAGCAGCCGCGGUAAUACAGAGGGUGCAAGCGUUGUUCGGAAUUACUGGGCGUAAAGCGCGCGUAGGCGGGAUGGCAAGUCGGGUGUGAAAGCCCUCGGCUCAACCGAGGAAGUGCACUCGAAACUGCCAUUCUUGAGUGUCGGAGAGGGUGGCGGAAUUCCCGGUGUAGAGGUGAAAUUCGUAGAUAUCGGGAGGAACACCAGUGGCGAAGGCGGCCACCUGGCCGAGCACUGACGCUCAGGCGCGAAAGCGUGGGGAGCAAACAGGAUUAGAAACCCUUGUAGUCC